AUGUCACCGGCGACGUGUUUGCAGCUUGGUCAUAGGGACACUGGUCACCUGGUGUUCUAGCUUGGCCGUUGCCUCGCUGUGGCAGUGGAACGGAGAGAAGCACACCAGCUACCGGCUGCUUGCACAAAGCAUAUUUGGUCCCUGGGGCUACUGGUAUGUGUCAUUCUUCCAGCAAGUGGCGUCGGUUGGCAACAACAUUGCGAUCCAGAUUGCGGCCAGCAGCAGCCUCAGGCCGUGUACAAGCACUACUAUGCCACCGACCAUGGCGCGAUGACGCUGCAGCACUUCAUCCUCCUCUUCGGCGCGCUCGAGCUGCUUCUCUCCCAGCUUCCCGACAUCCAUUCGCUCCGGUGGGUGAAUGCUACCUGCACUGCCUCCACCAUUGGGUUUGCUGGGACAGCCAUCGGUGUCACGAUAUAUGACGGAUAUCGGAUUAACCGAAAUGAUGUUGGUUACAGUCUGCAAGGAAGCACCGCAACCAAGGUCUUCAGAGGUUUCAAUGCACUGGGCACAAUAGCCUUCUCAUUUGGUGAUGCAAUGCUGCCAGAAAUCCAGAGCACCGUGCGAGAACCGGCGACGACAAACAUGUACAAGGGUGUUUCGACGGCGUACACAUUGAUCGUCAUGUCCUACUGGACACUGGCAUUCAGUGGCUAUUGGGCAUUCGGCUCCGGAGUCCAGCCAUACAUCUUGUCCUCUCUGACUGUUCCAAGAUGGGCAAUUGUAAUGGCAAACAUAUUUGCAGUUGUUCAGAUCACAGGUUGCUUUCAGAUAUACUGCAGGCCGACAUAUGCGCACUUUGAAGAGCGCAUUCAGGCAAAGAAUAUGAUGCACAGAGCAUGGCUGUGGCGACUGAUGUACACCUCUGCAUACAUGGCGACGAUCACCCUCGUUGCCGCCGCAAUGCCAUUCUUUGGGGACUUUGUAUCAGUUUGUGGAGCGGUUGGGUUCACCCCACUGGACUUUGUGCUGCCAGCAUUGGCAUUUCUCAAGGCUGGGAAGCUGCCCAAGAACCUGGGACUGCGGCGUACUGUCAAGGCCCUUUGCUGCGCCGGCGCCGUCUUGUUCUCUGUCAUCGGGGUUCUUGCAUGCAUUGGCGCCAUCAGAGCAAUUGCGCUCGAUGUCAAGACCUACAAGUUCUUCCAUGACAUGUGA
rnacentral:rRNA from 1 species